UACAGAGGUCUCAAGCGUUGUUCGGAUUCAUUGGGCGUAAAGGGUGCGUAGGCGGCGCGGUAAGUCGGGUGUGAAAUCUCGGAGCUUAACUCGAAACUGCAUUCGAUACUGCCGUGCUUGAGGACUGGAGAGGAGACUGGAAUUUACGGUGUAGCGGUGAAAUGCGUAGAUAUCGUAAGGAAGACCAGUGGCGAAGGCGGGUCUCUGGACAGUUCCUGACGCUGAGGCACGAAGGUCAGGGGGAGCAAAACGGG
rnacentral:rRNA from 1 species